CCCCUCUCAGGGGAACACCUGGAGAGUUCUCAGUACUUUACCAGUUUCGACUAUGGGAGGGAAAGUUAGGCAGAGACAUAUCCUUUCCAUUCCUAGCUUGGGCAGUGACUAGUGAGUGGAAGGCAAUCUGCUACAAGU